rnacentral:rRNA from 1 species
UACGGAAGGCAGCAGUGGGGAAUAUUGCACAAUGGGCGAAAGCCUGAUGCAGCUAUGCCGCGUGUAUGAAGAAGGCCUUAGGGUUGUAAAGUACUUUCAUCGGGGAGGAAAAAACAAAACUAAUAAUUUUAUUUCUUGACGUUACCCGAAAAAGAAGCACCGGCUAACUCCGUGCCAGCAGCCGCGGUAAUACGGAGGGUGCUAGCGUUAAUCAGAAUUACUGGGCGUAAAGAGCGCGUAGGUGGUUUUUUUAAAGUCAGAUGUGAAUCCCUGGGCUUAACCUAGGAACUGCAUUUUGAAACUGAAAUACUAGAGUAUCGUAGAGGGAGGUAGAAUUCUAGGUGUAGCGGUGAAAUGCGUAGAUAUCUGGAGGAAUACCUGUGGCGAAAGCGGCCUCCUAAACGAAUACUGACACUGAGGGUGCGAAAGCGUGGGGAGCAAACAGGGAUUAGAUACC